UACGUAGGGGGGCAAGCGUUGUCCGGAUUUAUUGGGCGUAAAGAGCGUGUAGGCGGCUUUACAGGUCCGUUGUGAAAACUCGAGGCUCAACCUCGAGACGCCGGUGGAAACCGUAAAGCUAGAGUCCGGAAGAGGAGAGUGGAAUUCCUGGUGUAGCGGUGAAACGCGCAGAUAUCAGGAGGAACACCCGUGGCGAAAAGCGGCUCUCUGGGACGGUACUGACGCUGAGACGCGAAAGCGUGGGGAGCAAACAGG
rnacentral:rRNA from 1 species